UAGGGAAUCUUCGGCAAUGGACGAAAGUCUGACCGAGCAACGCCGCGUGAGUGAAGAAGGUUUUCGGAUCGUAAAACUCUGUUGGUAGAGAAGAACGUUGGUGAGAGUGGAAAGCUCAUCAGGUGACGGUAACUACCCAGAAAGGGACGGCUAACUACGUGCCGG
rnacentral:rRNA from 1 species